UACGUAGGGUGCGAGCGUUGUCCGGAAUUACUGGGCGUAAAGAGCUCGUAGGCGGUUUGUCACGUCGUCUGUGAAAUCCUAGGGCUUAACCCUGGACGUGCAGGCGAUACGGGCUGACUUGAGUACUACAGGGGAGACUGGAAGUUCUGGUGUAGCGGUGGAAUGCACAGAUAUCAGGAAGAACACCGAUGGCGAAGGCAGGUCUCUGGGUAGUAACUGACGCUGAGGAGCGAAAGCAUGGGUAGCGAACAGG
rnacentral:rRNA from 1 species